rnacentral:rRNA from 1 species
GAUUAACGCUGGCGGCGUGCAUAACACACGCAAGUCGAACGAUGAAACUUUAAUGAACCCUUCGGGGAGAAUUAAAGCGGAUUAGUGGCGAACGGGUGAGUAACGCGUGAGUAACCUGCCUUACACAAGGGGAUAGCCUUUGGAAACGAAGAAUAAUACCCUAUAAAACCAUAAAAGCACAUGCAAUUAUGGUCAAAGUGAUAGCGGUGUAAGAUGGACUUGCGUCUGAUUAGCUAGUUGGUGAGAUAAAAGCCCACCAAGGCAACGAUCAGUAGCCGGCUUGAGAGAGUGUACGGCCACAUUGGGACUGAGACACGGCCCAGACUCCUACGGGAGGCAGCAGUGGGGAAUUUUGCACAAUGGGGGAAACCCUGAUGCAGCGACGCCGCGUGAUUUAGAAGGCCUUCGGGUUGUAAAAAUCUUUUGUAUAGGAAGAAAAUGACAGUACUAUACGAAUAAGGUCCGGCUAAUUACGUG